UACAGAGGUCUCAAGCGUUGUUCGGAUUCAUUGGGCGUAAAGGGUGCGUAGGCGGCGCGGUAAGUCGGGUGUGAAAUCUCGGGGCUUAACUCCGAAACUGCGUUCGAUACUGCCGUGCUUGAGGACUGGAGAGGAGACUGGAAUUUACGGUGUAGCGGUGAAAUGCGUAGAUAUCGUAAGGAAGACCAGUGGCGAAGGCGGGUCUCUGGACAGUUCCUGACGCUGAGGCACGAAGGCCAGGGGAGCAAACGGG
rnacentral:rRNA from 1 species